rnacentral:rRNA from 1 species
UACGUAGGCAGCAAGCGUUGUUCGGAGUUACUGGGCGUAAAGGGUGCGUAGGCGGCUUUUUAAGUUUGGUGUGAAAACUCGAGGCUCAACCUCGAGACGCCGAUGGAAACCAUCUGGCUAGAGUCCGGAAGAGGAGAGUGGAAUUCCUGGUGUAGCGGUGAAAUGCGCAGAUAUCAGGAAGAACACCCGUGGCUAAGGCGGCUCUCUAGUACGGUACUGACGCUGAGACGCGAAAGCGUGGGGAGCGAACAGG